CCUACGGGUGGCAGCAGUGGGGAAUAUUGGGCAAUGGGCGCAAGCCUGACCCAGCAACGCCGCGUGAAGGAAGAAGGCUUUCGGGUUGUAAACUUCUUUUCUCAGGGACGAAGCAAGUGACGGUACAUCAGGAAUAAGCCACGGCUAACUACGUGACAGCAGCCGCGGUACUACGUAGGUGGCAAGCGUUAUCCGGAUUUCCUGGGUGUAAAGGGCGUGUAGGCGGGAAAGCAAGUCAGAUGUGAAAACCUUGGGCUCAACCUGUGGCCUGCAUUUGAAACUGUUUUUAUUGAGUGCUGGAGAGGCAGACGGAAUUCCUAGUGUAGCGGUGAAAUGCGUAGAUAUUAGGAGGAACACCAGUGGCGAAGGCGGUCUUCUGGACAGCAACUGACGCUGAGGCGCGAAAGCGUGGGGAGCAAACAGGAUUAGAUACCCCAGUAGUC
rnacentral:rRNA from 1 species